CAUGGAGUUUGAUCCUGGCUCAGAAUGAACGCUGGCGGCAGGCCUAACACAUGCAAGUCGAACGGGGACUUCGGUCCUAGUGGCGAACGGUCGCGUAACACGUAAGCAACCUGCCCUGAAGUGGGGGACAACAUCCCGAAAGGGUGCUAAUACCGCAUGUGGUCACGAGUCGGCAUCGACUUGUGUCUAAAGAUUUAUCGCUUCAGGAUGGGCUUGCGGCCUAUCAGGUAGUUGGUGGGGUAAUGGCCUACCAAGCCGACGACGGGUAGCUGGUCUGAGAGGACGAUCAGCCGGAUUGGGACUGAGACUACGGCCAGGACUCCUACGGGGGGCAGCAAUUAGGAAUCGUUGCGCAAGUGGGGGAAACCCUGACGCAGCGACGUCGCGUGAAGGAUGAACGG
rnacentral:rRNA from 1 species